rnacentral:lncRNA from 1 species
GAGUUGUCCUGUCAAGUUGAUCCUUGUCCAGUGGAGUUGAUCCCUGUCCAGUCAAGUUGAUCCUUGUCCAGUGGAUUUGAUCCCUGUCCAGGCAGGCUGUUGUUAUAGGUAAGUACAUCAUAUGUGAACUAUAUAGGAUCAUUUUAAUACUGAAAUUUGUUUCGAAUGUAAAAUAUUCAAACUCUAUAAGGGGAGAUAAUCAACUAAAUAGUUUCAACAUUCAUAUAAUACCCAAGACCAAUAUUUUAUAGUAGAUGAGACACACACGAACAUGACAUCAUUGCAAAAUUAUUUUUCUUAAAAAAUACAAAUGAAAUAGAAAGGUUAAACUUAUGUGUGAACUUUGGGUAAAGGAUAGAAAAAAAUGAGUGCUAAGGCUACAUUGUGUACAUCACACUGAUAUCAACCCUAUAUUAAACAGGUACAACACAACAUUAUAACUCCCGCAAUAUUUCAACAGUAUAUAUCGAUGAGAACGCAACCCAACAAAGCAAGAACUAUAAGAAGCAAGGAAAUAUGUAGAGGUCAAUAUAUAGUCAAUAAAUACAUAAUUCUUCAAAUGACAAGGUCUAGAUUUUCAUGACGCUGGCCAUACAAGUAAGGGUUUAUUCUUGUUAAUCAUUUGUUAAUGAAAUAAUUGAAAAAUAUACCUUUAUUGUUCAUAGUUAUUUUGUUGAAACAGGAAAUAUUACACAAACAUUGAUAUGUUUAUAAGAUAAAGAAAAAUUCAUAUAUAUCACAACAGUUACUGAAAAAAGAAGUACCGAUAUAAAGUAUUUUGAAGUGAUUCAUAUAUUUUACAUAUAUCAGGCUUAAACAAGUAAAUAAUGAUUUAGAAAUAUUUUUCAGAGAUGCUUUAGAUGAUGGCACAUUCUUACUGAUAAAUUCAGCUGACCUCAGUUUUCAUCAAAUUAGUAUGUAUUGUAUCAUAUAUAUGUUUUAGUUCACCUUGGCAUACUCAUCACUUAGCGUCAGUUGUCUAUCGUUGUUGUUGUUAAAUUUUACAAAAAUCCUCUCCUCUGAAACUACUGGGACAAAUUAAACCAAACUUGGCCACAAUCAUCAUUAGAGUAAUCUAGUUUUAAAAAUGUGUCAGAUGACCCUGCCUGCAAACCAACAUGGCGGACAUGGCUAAAAAUAGAACAUUGGUGUAAAAUAUAAGUUGUGUCUAUUAUCUGAAAAAAUGCUUUGCAUAGAGAAAAUCUGAAAAGGGACAGAAAUUUUCAGAAUGUUGAGAGCUGCCUGCUGUUUAUUUACAUCAAAACU